AUACAACUGGAAAUGUUGUGAUGAUGCAGACUCCAGCUCCCAGUCUUUGCCUCCAGAGGAAAGAGCCACCCUCACCUGCAGGGCCAGAUUAUUGGCAGCUUCUUAGCCUGGUACCAGCAGAAACACAGGCAGCCUCCCAGGCCCCACAUUCAUGGUGUAUGUACCAGGGCCACCUGCACCCCAGCCCUGUUCAGUAGAUAUGAGUCUGGGACAGACUUUACUGUCACCAUCAACAGACUGGAGUCUGAAGAUUUUGCAGUUUAUCACUGCUAUUAG